rnacentral:lncRNA from 1 species
UCCAUGGAAACAACUUGUCUUACAUCUCUCAACCCAACAUAUGAUUCCAGAACCAAAGAGGAACCUCUAUCCUUGCCUUUUUUGUUGUCUUCUCCACUCUAUCAUGUUUGCCAUCUUCCUUCGUCUCCUCCUUGAGGACCUCUUUAACACUGAACCCCUAAAAGCCCCAUAUUGUAGAAACCUCACCUCACUCUAUCUUCGACUCUAAAAAUUCGCACAGACUCUGACUCUGACUUUGAAGAAAAAGGG